GCUCUUUCCCGCGAGACUACAUUUCCCAGAAUGCCCGGCAGCCAGGAAAGCACGUGGAGUGGUUGUCCUAGGAUCCGGCUGGAGGAAGAUGGCGGGCUCACGGUGAGCAGACGUCAAGGGAUGAAAAUAGGUAUGCCUAAAAGCAAAUUUUAAAAGCAUUUUCUCUUCAGAUCUUUUUCCAUACCACCUGAUAAAGCAUCUUGAUUCACCAUGGCCGUAUCAGCAGUGAAAUGGGCGAUAUCAAACAGAACUUUUUUGAAACAUUUCUUUCCAAUCCAAAAUGGAGCUUUAUACUGUGUUUGUCAUAAAUCCACAUACUCUUCUCUUCCAGAUGACUAUAAUUGCAAAGUAGAACUUGCUUUGACAUCUGAUGGCAGGACGAUAGUUUGCUACCAUCCUUCUGUGGAUAUUCCGUAUGAACACACCAAGCCUAUCCCUCGGCCAGAUCCUUUGCAUAAUUAUGAAGAAACACAGGAUCAAAUACUGAAAACCAGAUUAGAAGUAAAAGAUGAACACUUGGAGCAAGGACCCAUGAUAGAACAACUUAGCAAAAUGUUCUUUACUACUAAGCACCGUUGGUAUCCUUAUGGACAAUUUAAAAAGUUAAAAAAACAACCUUACUCAGAUCAACUUGCCAAAAUCUGGCUUUAGGGGAAUUUUUUUGAAGAAAACUCAUCAACAAAAACCACAUGUACUCUGCAGAAAUUUUCUUAAUAGAGAAAAUAAGGUAAUGCAGAGAAGUAAAAAGAAGAAUUCUUCAUGGUGAAUUUACUCAAAGAUGAUCACUGCUAACAAUGCAUUUUAUUUUACUUUGUAUCUAUACGUAUCAUACACGUCGUAGGAAACUGAAUCCUCCAAAAGACAGAUGAUAUUGAGGUUUUCAGUAAAAUGCUGUCCUGUUCUCAUUUGCCAUUUGAGAAAAUGCAAUCAGAUAUAUUCACUACUAUGUUAUAUAGUAAAAUAAUAAUAAAAUGUCUUUUCAUCUA